UCUUCUGGGUGCUGAGGGGUAAACUGAGGCCUGCAGUUGGGGAGAGAGCCAGAACCAGGGUCCCUCCUAGAGUCCUGAGAUAUAGGCAUGGAUUUCAACUCUGCCGCUGCAUUUCGGGGAGGCCCUGAGAUAUCUGGUCUUCAAUUUGCCCUUCUACACUGAGCACGGAGAGGCGUGGAGUAGACAAGGGCCAGUCGAUUUCGUUCCAAAAAGAAACGGACCCUUACCUUUUAAAUAGCCAGGCUAUCUUUGGCGGGUCGCGGGUUUUUUAGAGGGACUAUCGGCUCAAACCGAUGGAAGUUUGAGGCAAUAACAGGUCUGUGAUGCCCUUAGAUGUUUUGGGCCGCACGCGCGCUACACUGACAGAGCCAACGAGUUCAUUUCCUUGGCCGAAAGGUCUGGGUAAUCUUGUUAAACUCUGUCGUGCUGGGGAUAGAGCAUUGCAAUAAUUGCUCUUCAACGAGGAAUUCCUAGUAAGCGCAAGUCAUCAGCAUGCGUUGAUUACGUACCUGCCAUUUAAA
rnacentral:rRNA from 1 species